rnacentral:lncRNA from 1 species
GGCAAAGACACCCAGAUAAUACCUAACUGAGUUUGAACUUGAGGGAGGGCCCGGACCAAUCCCAGGCCUGAGGGUGGGAAUUUCGGGGCUUCAUUGGCCAGGUGUGUUCCCAGGCUGCUGGGCAGGGCCUGCUGGCAGUGACCCACCUCCUCUCAGCUGAGCCAGGCCUCCCAUCAUGUCUGUCUGGUAAAGAAGCCCUGGCCCCAGCAACCACUGCUUCCACCCCCACCCACAGUUAUUGAUGUAAAUGAAGGAAGAGCUUACCUGCCCCCUCCUGCACUGGCUUGGCCCCUGCAAAGGGAAGGGGAGGCCAUCAGCCAAGCAUCCCAGACCUGACCCACACUGCUGAGUGGACUACAGUAUGGAGGGGAGAGCACCGGAGGGCAGAGGUCUGUCCCAGAGUGGCCCCUCACCUGCAAGAGGCCCCAGCGGGAGGCAGAGGGCCAGCCCCAGCAUCCAGCAGGCCUCCAUCAUCCCCAGUUGCAGCCAGUCGACUCCUUAGGUCCACCUGCAGGAGUCCAGAGGGCGAGACCACUGUGCACCAGAGCCAGCCUUUCUGCCACCCCUGGGAAGCUAGAGUCUGCCCAGUGACUCCGACUUCAGUGGUUUCGAGCCAUCAUUCUCCCAUGAAGCCCCCACCUGGUUGGCUUCAUUGAUUCUGAUUACCUAAGAGUCUGCCUUCCUUGCCCUCGGAUACAGUCCCAGGUCCCCAGAGGCUUUACCUUUCCUCCGUCUGCUCAGCCCAGCUGUGCAACCUGGAUGUGUCGCUGCCAGCUCAAAACCUCCUCUUUAUGCAGGGGCUGGGGACCAGGAAGGAAACGUCACCUGCCUGAACUGUCAAACUGAAUAUCUCAUUCCCAG